AUGGACAUGCCGGGGGAGGACGAGUACGUCUACGGCUACGAGUACGAGUUCGACUUGGAGAACCCCUUCACGAGCCCCGCCGACGAGCCGAUCGCCAGCCUCCUCGACGCCGAGGCCCACCACGCGCCCUCCGUGUCCGCCGCCGCCUCCGCCGUCCGCCGCGACGCCGCCCGAUUCAUCUCCAAGGUGCGGUACGACGGGGAGCUCGCCGUGCACCCGCGGGUGGCCUACCUCGCGCUGAACUACGUGGAUCGCUUCCUCUCCAAGGGCCAAUUGCCGUUCGAGCGCAAGCCAUGGGCGCCGCGGCUGCUCGCCAUCAGCUGCCUCUCCAUCGCCGCCAAGAUGCAGCGCGUCGACGCAAUCUCCAUGGACUACAUCCAAAGGGACGAGGAGUUCAUGUUCGACGCGGCGACCAUCCGGCGCAUGGAGCGGGUGGUGCUGGGCGCGCUGGAGUGGCGCGCGCGCUCCGUGACGCCGCUCGCCUUCCUCGGCUUCUUCCUCUCGGCGUGCUUCCCUCCGCCGCGGCACCCGGCCCUGCUGGACGCCGUCAAGGAGCGCGCCGUCGACCUCCUCCUCCGUGCCCAGCCCGAGGUGAAGAUGGCGGAGUUCUCGCCGUCCGUGGUGGCCGCGUCGGCGCUGCUGGCCGCCGCCGGAGAGAUCGCCGUCGCCCACCUCCCCGCCUUCCAAGCCGCCGUGGCCGCUUGCCCCUUUGAGAAGCUACGGGAGUGCGGCGAGGUGAUGGCGGCGGUCUGCGGUGUGGUCGGCGUCGGCGUCGGACCGGCGGCGAGCGCCGAGACGCCGGUGACGGUCCUCGGGCACGGCCACUACCGCAGCGCCAGCUCGGAGAGCGACCGGACCGUCGGAUCGGCAGCCAACGUCGCCGAUGCCAAGAAGCGAUGCAUGGGCCCACCUUCCCAGUCCCAGUGGGGGUAA
rnacentral:rRNA from 1 species